rnacentral:rRNA from 1 species
GACGAACGCUGGCGGCGUGCUUAACACAUGCAAGUCGAACGGUGAAGCGCCUUCCUUUUUGGUGGGUGUGGAUGAGUGGCGAACGGGUGAGUAACACGUGAGUAACCUGCCCCCUUCUUCUGGAUAACCGCAUGAAAGUGUGGCUAAUACGGGAUAUUCUGGGUCUGUCGCAUGAUGGGUCUGGGAAAGAUAUUGUUUCGGUGGGGGAUGGGCUCGCGGCCUAUCAGCUUGUUGGUGGGGUGAUGGCCUACCAAGGCGGUGACGGGUAGCCGGCCUGAGAGGGUGGACGGUCACACUGGGACUGCGACCCGGCCCAGACUCCUACGGGAGGCAGCCGUGUGGAAUAUGGCACAAUGGGCGAAAGCGUGAUGCAGCGACGCCGCGUGAGGGAUGGAGGCCUUCGGGUUGUGAACCUCUUUCGCCAGUGAAGCAGGCCUGCCUCGUUUGUGGGUGGGUUGACGGUAGCUGGAUAAGAAGCGCCGGCUAACUACGUG